rnacentral:rRNA from 1 species
UGUCUACGGCCAUACCAUGCUGAAAACACCA